rnacentral:rRNA from 1 species
AUUGAACGCUGGCGGCGUGCUUAACACAUGCAAGUCGAUCGGUAACAGGUGUAGCAAUACAUGCUGACGAGAGGCGGACGGGUGAGUAAUGCUUGGGAAUCUGCCUAUUAGUGGGGGACAACCCGGGGAAACUCGGGCUAAUACCGCAUACGCUCUACGGAGGAAAGCCGGGGACCGCAAGGCCUGGCGCUAAUAGAUGAGCCCAAGUCGGAUUAGCUAGUUGGUAGGGUAACGGCCUACCAAGGCGACAAUCCGUAGCUGGUCUGAGAGGACGACCAGCCACACCGGAACUGAGACACGGUCCGGACUCCUACGGGAGGCAGCAGUGGGGAAUAUUGGACAAUGGGGGCAACCCUGAUCCAGCGACGCCGCGUGGGUGAAGAAGGCCUGCGGGUUGUAAAGCCCUUUCGGUGGGGAAGAAAGGUCUCGACCUAAUACGUCGGGACCUUGACGUAACCCACUAAAGAAGCACCGGCUAACUCUGUGCCAGCAGCCGCUGUAAC